GGCAAGAGAAGAACAAAUCAGAUCAUGCAAGAGAGGACUCCAUGUGAGUUCAUGCACACAUGGUACAAGAGUGCCCACAGCACAGGACCAACGCUGAGACUCAGGACAUCCUGCACCUUGGCCCAGGAAACCCAAGGCUGCCACAGAGAACCUGCUGCACAAGGUACACAAUGCCAUGAGGAUGCUCAGCACUUCCCAGCAAACACUGUUGGUCUCCUCUCCAAACACCAUGCUGUACUCAAAACAUAGGACCUGGAAGCUGUCGAUAUUUAAGAGGAGCUUUCAUGGAAGAAAGGCUGUGAUGACUUUCAGAGGUCCUUCAUCCCUGACUGUCUGCAGGAGUAAGUUAAUCAGGAGAUGAAGCUCUUGUAUCUAAGCCAGGCUUGGGAUGGAGCUGUGCAGU